GACGAACGCUGGCGGCGUGCUUAACACAUGCAAGUCGAACGGAAAGGCCCUGCUUUUGUGGGGUGCUCGAGUGGCGAACGGGUGAGUAACACGUGAGUAACCUGCCCUUGACUUUGGGAUAACUUCAGGAAACUGGGGCUAAUACCGGAUAGGAGCUCCUGCUGCAUGGUGGGGGUUGGAAAGUUUCGGCGGUUGGGGAUGGACUCGCGGCUUAUCAGCUUGUUGGUGGGGUAGUGGCUUACCAAGGCUUUGACGGGUAGCCGGCCUGAGAGGGUGACCGGCCACAUUGGGACUGAGAUACGGCCCAGACUCCUACGGGAGGCAGCAGUGGGGAAUAUAGCACAAUGGGCGGAAGCCUGAUGCAGCAACGCCGCGUGCGGGAUGACGGCCUUCGGGUUGUAAACCGCUUUCGCCUGUGACGAAGCGUGAGUGACAGUAAUGGGUAAAGAAGCACCGGCUAACUACGUG
rnacentral:rRNA from 1 species